rnacentral:tRNA from 1 species
AAGAUUUUAGUUUAAUAAAAACAUUAAAAUUUCAAUUUAAAAUUAAUUAUCUUUAAUUAAAUCUUA